rnacentral:rRNA from 1 species
UACGAAGGGGGCUAGCGUUGUUCGGAUUUACUGGGCGUAAAGCGCACGUAGGCGGGUCGUUAAGUCAGGGGUGAAAUCCCGGAGCUCAACUCCGGAACUGCCUUUGAUACUGGCGACCUUGAGGCUGGAAGAGGUGAGUGGAAUUCCCAGUGUAGAGGUGAAAUUCGUAGAUAUUGGGAAGAACACCGGUGGCGAAGGCGGCUCACUGGCUCGUUUCUGACGCUCAGGCGCGACAGCGUGGGGAUCAAACAGG